AAAACUUAAUAAUUUGACGGUAAAUAUUUCAUAGAGGAACUUGUAACUUAAUCGAUAUUACACGAUAUAUUUCACUUGUAUUUAUUUUGUAUACCUCCGUCUAGAUUCUAUUAUAAAUUAAUUAUCUAAUAAAUUAAUAUUGGUAUAUCAGGUCAAGGUGCAGUAUAUAUAAGGUGUUAUGUGUUACAUUGAAAAAUUAUAAUUAGAUUUAAUUUGAAAAAAUUAAGGAAAAAGAAUUUAUAAGUAAAAAAAUAUAUUAUAUUUUUUUGAAAAGGAAUUAUUUAUGAACACGU
rnacentral:rRNA from 1 species